rnacentral:rRNA from 1 species
UACGUAGGGUGCAAGCGUUGUCCGGAAUUAUUGGGCGUAAAGAGCUCGUAGGCAGUCUGUCGCGUCGGCUGUGAAAACCCGGAGCUCAACUCCGGGCCUGCAGUCGAUACGGGCAGACUGGAGUUCGGCAGGGGAGACUGGAAUUCCUGGUGUAGCGGUGAAAUGCGCAGAUAUCAGGAGGAACACCAAAGGCGAAGGCAGUGUCCUGGGGAGUACCUGACGCUCAGGUGCGAAAGCCAGGGGAGCGAACGGG